GGUUGAUCCUGCCAGUAGUCAUAUGCUUGUCUCAAAGAUUAAGCCAUGCAUGUCUAAGUAUAAACACAUUUAUAUGGUGAAACUGCGGACGGCUCAUUAAACCAGUGAUAGUUUACUUGAUCGUAUCUUCUUACUUGGAUAACCGUAGGAAAUCUAGAGCUAAUACAUGCAAAAGAUCCGACCGUCCCGUACGGCCGGAUGAAUUUAUUAGAUUAAAAAACCAAUGCACCCCCAAAAAGGUGCAGCCCUUGGUGAUUCACAAUAACUGAUCGAAGCGCAGGUUCUGCCGGCG
rnacentral:rRNA from 1 species